rnacentral:lncRNA from 1 species
GGUGUAAACACCCGGCCCAAUCCAAAAGGCCCAGCCACAAUGGCCGGUGGAGGAGUUUAGUACAAAGAGAUGAGAGGAAGUUCGGGUGGCGACUAGAGAGAGGAGUGAAAGAGGAGGAUAGUCAAAAAAUACUGGAGGGCAUAGUGAGAUCUGGGGGACAAGGGAGUAAACAAUUGUAUGACUGGAGACAGAGGGAUUUGCGUGAACCUGUACUUUACUAUUAG